GGGGUUGUGACUCAAGUGGUAGAGCAUUCACCUAGGACGUGUGAGGCACUGGGUUCAAUCCUCAGCACCACA
rnacentral:tRNA from 1 species